rnacentral:rRNA from 1 species
GAUGAACGCUAGCUACAGGCUUAACACAUGCAAGUCGAGGGGUAACAAGAGGAAAGCUUGCUUUUCUUGUUGGCGACCGGCGCACGGGUGAGUAACGCGUAUCCAACCUGCCUAUAACUAGGGAAUAACCUUGCGAAAGUAAGACUAAUACCCUAUGAUUUCCUUUGAUGACAUCAGAUUAGGAAUAAAGAUUUAUCGGUUAUAGAUGGGGAUGCGUCUGAUUAGAUUGUUGGCGGGGUAACGUCCCACCAAGGCAACGAUCAGUAGGGGUUCUGAGAGGAAGGUCCCCCACAUUGGAACUGAGACACGGUCCAAACUCCUACGGGAGGCAGCAGCGAGGAAUAUUGGUCAAUGGGCGGAAGCCUGAACCAGCCAAGUAGCGUGCAGGAUGACGGCCCUAUGGGUUGUAAACUGCUUUUAUACAGGAAUAAAGUUAGCCACGUGUGGUUAUUUGUAGGUACUGUAUGAAUAAGGACCGGCUAAUUCCGUGCCAGCAGCCGCCGUAA